GACGAACGCUGGCGGCGUGCCUAAUACAUGCAAGUCGAGCGGACUAAUGGGAGCUUGCUCCCGUUAGUUAGCGGCGGACGGGUGAGUAACACGUGGGCAACCUACCUGUAAGACUGGGAUAACUUCGGGACACCGGAGCUAAUACCGGAUGACAUAAAGGAACUCCUGUUCCUUUAUUGAAAGAUGGCUUCGGCUAUCACUUACAGAUGGGCCCGCGGCGCAUUAGCUAGUUGGUGAGGUAACGGCUCACCAAGGCGACGAUGCGUAGCCGACCUGGGAGGGUGGUCGGCCACACUGGGCAUGAGACACGGCCCAGACUCCUACGGGAGGCAGCAGUAGGGAAUCUUCCGCAAUGGACGAAAGUCUGACGGAGCAACGCCGCGUGAGCGAUGAAGGCCUUCGGGUCGUAAAGCUCUGUUGUUAGGGAAGAAUAAGUGCUAGUUGAAUAAGCUGGCACCUUGACGGUACCUGACCAGAAAGCCACGGCUAACUACGUGCCAGCCGCCGCAGUAA
rnacentral:rRNA from 1 species